rnacentral:lncRNA from 1 species
UAUUAUUUAUCGAUCACAAAUAAAAAAACUUAUAAGUCACAAUUUAUUUGUCGAUCACAGAUUUUCAAAUUAAUUAGCCACGGAUUAUCGAAAUUUUACGUCACAAUUAAAUCGUAGGUCACAAAUAACUAAAUAAAUGGUCACAUAUGUCAAAUGGUGGGUCAUAUACCACCAUCACCAACACUAUCACACCGCCACUGCCACAAAAACCACUUGCGACAACCUCACCUCAUUAUCACCAGCACCACCACCAACAACGCCACAACAUCACCACCAACAAAAUCGCCACCACUCACAUCACCACUGCCAACACGAACACCUGCACCAUUGCUAGAAACCACCACGACCAAACACACCAACAAUACCCAACCAGCCACCUCACCAAUAACCAACAUCUCCACGGCCAACACGACCACUGUCGAAAACCAUCACAGCCAUAAAGACCAUAACCACACCCAGAAACCACCACCAAAAACAACAAUACACCACUCCACAAUCUCACCAAAACCACCCACAUCAGCAACACAGGUAGAAUCAACAAAAAUGAUUAGAACCAGUAGCAACCACACUCGUCCUUGGCCACAGCAGCGACAUCGUCGCUCAUAGUAUGUUGCAGCGCCGCCAGCCACACACUCACCGAAGAAGAGGCGGAUCUACGGAGAGCAUGGGAGAAGAGAGAGUGAAGAGAAAGAGAUGUUGGACGGAGAAAAGUUAGAUCUGCAAAAUUAGAGUUCGCAGAAGUCGCCGUUCACAACAGGUGACACCGUUGGAAUUAGUUUCACCCGGCGACGCUGCUGAGAACUCUUAGCAGUCCCCGAUGUCAACCGCAUCCUCUGGCACAUCCUCCUUUGUCGCCGAUUGCAGAGUUUGACAGGAUCGCCGACGUCGAAGACAGUAGGGAGGGAUGGUGACGGUGAAAUGUUUUAUCGCGAGCGUCAAAGAGAGAAGGGAGAUACGGUGAUGGUGAAAUGUUUUGCAGUGGGUAGGUGAAAUGAAUCAGCUUUGGAGUUCAAUUGCGUGGAGAUAUUAUAUUAAGCCCUCGUUUGGCCCCAUGAUUUCUCAUUAAAUUAAAUUAAAAUUUUCUCUUUCCUAUUUUU